rnacentral:rRNA from 1 species
UACGUAGGGGGCAAGCGUUGUCCGGAUUUAUUGGGCGUAAAGAGCGUGUAGGCGGCCAGGUAGGUCAGCUGUGAAAACUCGAGGCUUAACCUCGAGACGCCGGCUGAAACCCUCUGGCUAGAGUCCGGAAGAGGAGAGCGGAAUUCCUGGUGUAGCGGUGAAAUGCGCAGAUAUCAGGAAGAACACCCGUGGCGAAGGCGGCUCUCUGGGACGGUACUGACGCUGAGGCACGAAAGCCAGGGGAGCGAACGGG